UUUUAACACUACAAGUCCGACUGGCGGG
rnacentral:piRNA from 1 species